GGCCCAUUAGCUAGCUGGUGGGGUAAUGGCCCACCAAGGAUACGAUGGGUAGCUGAUUCUGAGAGGAUGAUCAGCCACAUUGGUAACUGAGCCACGGUCCAGACUCUAUACGGGAGGCAGCAGUGGGGAAUUUUGCGCAAUGGGCGAAAGCCUGACGCAGCAACGCCGCGUGAGUGAUGAAGGCCUUCGGGUCGUAAAGCUCUGUCAGAGGGGAAGAAACUCCUGAAGCUAAUAUCUUCAGGCCUGACGGUACCCUCAAAGGAAGCACCGGCUAACUCCGUGCCAGCAGCCGCGGUAAUACGGAGGGUGCAAGCGUUGUUCGGAAUUAUUGGGCGUAAAGCGCGUGUAGGCGGCUACUCAAGUCCGAUGUGAAAGCCCGGGGCUCAACCCCGGAAGUGCAUUGGAAACUGGGUGGCUUGAGUACGGGAGAGGGGGGUGGAAUUCCGAGUGUAGGGGUGAAAUCCGUAGAUAUUCGGAGGAACACCGGUGGCGAAGGCGGCCUCCUGGACCGAUACUGACGCUGAGACGCGAAAGCGUGGGAAGCAAACAGGAUUAGAUACCCUGGUAGUCCACGCCGUAAACGAUGGGUACUAGGUGUUGCGGGUAUUGACCCCUGCAGUGCCGAAGCUAACGCAUUAAGUACCCCGCCUGGGGAGUACGGUCGCAAGACUAAAACUCAAAGGAAUUGACGGGGG
rnacentral:rRNA from 1 species